UUCGCAAUGCCCGAAAGGGUGACUAUGCGACGCCGCGUGUGGGAUGAAGGCCUUCGGGUUGUAAACCACUGUCAGGGAGGAAGAAACCUUAUGCGUGAACAGCGCAUGAGAUUGACAUCACUCCCAGAGGAAGCCACGGCUAACUCUGUGCCAGCAGCCGCGGUAAGACAGAGGCGGCAAGCGUUGUUCGGAUUUAUUGGGUGUAAAGGGCAGGUAGGUGGCCUUGCAAGUCCGGUGUGAAAUCCCACGGCUCAACCGUGGAACUGCAUUGGAUACUGCUUGGCUUGAGUAUCGGAGAGGUGAGGGGAAUUCCCGGUGUAAGGGUGAAAUCUGUAGAUAUCGGGAGGAAUACCAGUGGCGAAGGCGCCUCACUGGCCGUUUACUGACACUGAGCUGCGAAAGCUAGGGGAGCAAACAGGAUUAGAUACCCCGGUAGUCCUAGCCGUAAACGAUGGGCACUAAGUAGAGGGGUA
rnacentral:rRNA from 1 species